UAAAAAGUUCAACUUUAUAGUGAAACUGCGAACGGCUCAUUAGAGCAGAUAUAAUAUACCCGAGAUAUCUUUAGUGGAUAACUGCGGUAAAUCUCGAGCUAAUACAUGUCACAAAAGCUAGGCUCGCUUAGCUGCAGGUAUUAGUGCAAACCAAUCGUUUUCGGACGUAGUUUGCUGACUCUGAAUACCCAGUAUAUCGACGGUUUAUCCGUCGAAAGCUCGGAAUAGUGUCUGCCCUAUCAACUAGAUGGUAGUCUAUUAGACUACCAUGGUGAUAACGGGUAACGGAGAAUAAGGGUUCGGCUCCGGAGAGGGAGCCUUAGAAACGGCUACCACAUCCAAGGAAGGCAGCAGGCGCGUAACUUAUCCACUACCACAGUGAGAUAGUGACUAAAAAUAAAAAGUCCAAUCCUAACGGAUCGGAUAUUUCAAUGAAUUGAGCUUAAAUAGCUCUAUGAGGACCUAAUGGAGGGCAAGUCUGGUGCCAG
rnacentral:rRNA from 1 species